UGAUUUUUUAAAUUGCUGUGGUAUUUUGACUAUACAAAGGUAUUGUAAUAAGAUUUUAAUUGAAUGCUAAAAGAAUGGAAUUUCAGGGAAAAACUUUUUUAAUUUUAAUAAUUAAAGUUAUUUUAAUUUGUGAAGAAACAAUUAUAAAAAUUAGGGACAAGAAGACCCUAAGAAUUUAUGAAUUUAUUCAUAAGUGUUAUUGUGUCUUAAAUUCUUGGUUGGGGCAACUAAAAAAUAUUUACAACUUUUAUAAAAUAAAAUGAUCCAUUAUUAAUGAAAAUAUGAUUAAAAUACUCUAGGGAUAACAGCGUAAUAAUUUUAGAUAGGCCAUAUAGACAAAAUAGUUUGCGACCUCGAUGUUGGAUUAGGAUACUUAUUUAACGAAGAUGUUAAAAAAAGAAGUUUGUUCAACUUUUAAAUUCCUACUUGAUCUGA
rnacentral:rRNA from 1 species